rnacentral:rRNA from 1 species
UAGGGAAUCUUCCACAAUGGGCGCAAGCCUGAUGGAGCAACACCGCGUGAGUGAAGAAGGGUUUCGGCUCGUAAAGCUCUGUUGUUAAAGAAGAACAUGUAUGAGAGUAACUGUUCAUACGUUGACGGUAUUUAACCAGAAAGCCACAGCUAACUACGUGCCAG